CAAAAAACUCUCUAAAUAACAUAUAUGUCUCCGCCUAGAUCUGCCACUACUCUACUUCCUCGUCUACUGUAUACCACACCUUUUGUCGCCUCACCUUACUACCUUCAUUAAUUCUAUUGCAUUCAAAUUGCAAUACUCCAUACCUUAUCUACAUGUUACUAUUGAUAUAAUCUGUCUAAUGUUGUGGUAGAGAGAAUUUGCCUUAAAAAAGCGUUCAAUAUUCAAAUAAUAUAAAAUUUUGAUAUAUAGCUUUUUAACUCAAUAAUAUACACUUUUAAAAAUUUUUAGCUAAAAAUUCAUCUAAAAACUUAAGAUAUGGC
rnacentral:lncRNA from 1 species